UACAGAGGGUGCAAGCGUUGUUCGGAAUUAUUGGGCGUAAAGCGCGUGUAGGCGGCUUGGCAAGUCGGGUGUGAAAGCCCUCAGCUCAACUGAGGAAGUGCGCCCGAAACUGCUGAGCUUGAGUGCCGGAGAGGGUGGCGGAAUUCCCCAAGUAGAGGUGAAAUUCGUAGAUAUUGGGAGGAACACCGGUGGCGAAGGCGGCUACCUGGACAGUGACUGACGCUGAGACGCGAAAGCAUGGGUAGCAAACAGG
rnacentral:rRNA from 1 species